GAUGAACGCUGACAGAAUGCUUAACACAUGCAAGUCUUUGGCGAAGCUGUGCUUGCACAGCCUAGCCAAGGCGGACGGGUGAGUAACGCGUAAGGAACUUGCCCUGCAGUCAGGGAUAACAGACGGAAACGACUGAUAAGACCUGGUAAAGUCAGGCGGACUCAUGUCCAGCCUGAUGAAAAGAGAUGCUGCAGGAGAGCCUUGCGUCCUAUUAGCUUGUUGGUGGGGUAACGGCCCACCAAGGCGAUGAUAGGUAGCCGGCCUGAGAGGGUGGACGGCCACAAGGGGACUGAGAUACGGCCCUUACUCCUACGGUAGGCAGCAGUGGGGAAUAUUGGACAAUGGGGGCAACCCUGAUCCAGCAAUUCUGUGUGCACGAUGAAGGUUUUCGGAGUGUAAAGGGCUUUCAGCGGGGAAGAAAAAAAUGACGGUACCUGCAGAAGAAGCGACGGCUAAAUACGUG
rnacentral:rRNA from 1 species